GGUAAAAUGGCUGAUAAAAGCGUUAGACUGUAAAUCUAAAGAUAGAGGUGUGAGUCCUCUUUUUGCCA
rnacentral:tRNA from 1 species